rnacentral:rRNA from 2 species
AACGCUGGCGGCGUGCCUAAUACAUGCAAGUCGAACGAGUUCUGAUUAUUGAAAGGUGCUUGCAUCUUGAUUUAAUUUUGAACGAGUGGCGGACGGGUGAGUAACACGUGGGUAACCUGCCCUUAAGUGGGGGAUAACAUUUGGAAACAGAUGCUAAUACCGCAUAAAUCCAAGAACCGCAUGGUUCUUGGCUGAAAGAUGGCGUAAGCUAUCGCUUUUGGAUGGACCCGCGGCGUAUUAGCUAGUUGGUGAGGUAACGGCUCACCAAGGCAAUGAUACGUAGCCGAACUGAGAGGUUGAUCGGCCACAUUGGGACUGAGACACGGCCCAAACUCCUACGGGAGGCAGCAGUAGGGAAUCUUCCACAAUGGACGCAAGUCUGAUGGAGCAACGCCGCGUGAGUGAAGAAGGCUUUCGGGUCGUAAAACUCUGUUGUUGGAGAAGAAUGGUCGGCAGAGUAACUGUUGUCGGCGUGACGGUAUCCAACCAGAAAGCCACGGCUAACUACGUGCCAGCAGCCGCGGUAAUACGUAGGUGGCAAGCGUUAUCCGGAUUUAUUGGGCGUAAAGCGAGCGCAGGCGGUUUUUUAAGUCUGAUGUGAAAGCCCUCGGCUUAACCGAGGAAGUGCAUCGGAAACUGGGAAACUUGAGUGCAGAAGAGGACAGUGGAACUCCAUGUGUAGCGGUGAAAUGCGUAGAUAUAUGGAAGAACACCAGUGGCGAAGGCGGCUGUCUGGUUUGUAACUGACGCUGAGGCUCGAAAGCAUGGGUAGCGAACAGGAUUAGAUACCCUGGUAGUCCAUGCCGUAAACGAUGAAUGCUAGGUGUUGGAGGGUUUCCGCCCUUCAGUGCCGCAGCUAACGCAUUAAGCAUUCCGCCCGGGGAGUACGACCGCAAGGUUGAAACUCAAAGGAAUUGACGGGGGCCCGCACAAGCGGUGGAGCAUGUGGUUUAAUUCGAAGCAACGCGAAGAACCUUACCAGGUCUUGACAUCUUUUGAUCACCUGAGAGAUCAGGUUUCCCCUUCGGGGGCAAAAUGACAGGUGGUGCAUGGUUGUCGUCAGCUCGUGUCGUGAGAUGUUGGGUUAAGUCCCGCAACGAGCGCAACCCUUAUGACUAGUUGCCAGCAUUUAGUUGGGCACUCUAGUAAGACUGCCGGUGACAAACCGGAGGAAGGUGGGGAUGACGUCAAAUCAUCAUGCCCCUUAUGACCUGGGCUACACACGUGCUACAAUGGAUGGUACAACGAGUUGCGAGACCGCGAGGUCAAGCUAAUCUCUUAAAGCCAUUCUCAGUUCGGACUGUAGGCUGCAACUCGCCUACACGAAGUCGGAAUCGCUAGUAAUCGCGGAUCAGCACGCCGCGGUGAAUACGUUCCCGGGCCUUGUACACACCGCCCGUCACACCAUGAGAGUUUGUAACACCCGAAGCCGGUGGCGUAACCCUUUUAGGGAGCGAGCCGUCUAAGGUGGGACAAAUGAUUAGG